rnacentral:rRNA from 1 species
UUGAACGUUGUUUUCGAAUCAAAAUGAAAACAAAGUAGCGAACGGGUGCGUAACACGUAGGAAUCUGCCAAACAGUUUGGGCCAAAUCCCAAAUGAGUAAAAGCUAAAAAGCGCUGUUUGAUGAGCUCACGUAGUAUUAGGUAGUUGGUUAGGUAAAAGCUGACCAAGCCUACGAUGCUUAGCUGGUCUUUUCGGAUGAUCAGCCACACUGGGACUGAGACACGGCCCAG